GACGAACGCUGGCGGCGUGCUUAACACAUGCAAGUCGAACGGAAAGGCCCUGCUUUUGUGGGGUGCUCGAGUGGCGAACGGGUGAGUAACACGUGAGUAACCUGCCCUUGACUUUGGGAUAACUUCAGGAAACUGGGGCUAAUACCGGAUAGGAGCUCCUGCUGCUUGGUGGGGGUUGGAAAGUUUCGGCGGUUGGGGAUGGUCUCGCGGCUUAUCAGCUUGUUGGUGGGGUAGUGGCUUACCAAGGCUUUGACGGGUAGCCGGCCUGAGAGGGUGACCGGCCACAUUGGGACUGAGAUACGGCCCAGACUCCUACGGGAGGCAGCAGUGGGGAAUAUUGCACAAUGGGCGGAAGCCUGAUGCAGCAACGCCGCGUGCGGGAUGACGGCCUUCGGGUUGUAAACCGCUUUCGCCUGUGACGAAGCGUGAGUGACGGUAAUGGGUAAAGAAGCACCGGCUAACUACGUG
rnacentral:rRNA from 1 species